AGAAUGUGACUCCUGACUUCCUGUGGUCCAAGACUGGUCAGCUCACUAAACACAUCAGAUGGGAAAACUAAUACUGCAGGAGCAGCCGAUUCGAUUUCCAUCUGCCCAGCAGGGGUUGCCUGCCAGUGAUGCCCUCUUGUGAUCUGUACAGACUAGCUAGGAAUUGUCUAUUCAGGUCAGAUGUCAGUGGGCGUCCCCAAUCCUGCUGUCCCUUGUUUCCUUUUAGCACAACCUUUCGAUUGUCAUCACCGAUGAGUAAUGUGGAAAAACCGGUAUUAACCCAAAACUA
rnacentral:lncRNA from 1 species